rnacentral:rRNA from 1 species
AAAUUGAAGAGUUUGAUCAUGGCUCAGAUUGAACGCUGGCGGCAGGCCUAACACAUGCAAGUCGAACGGUAGCACAGAGAGCUUGCUCUCGGGUGACGAGUGGCGGACGGGUGAGUAAUGUCUGGGAAACUGCCCGAUGGAGGGGGAUAACUACUGGAAACGGUAGCUAAUACCGCAUAACGUCGCAAGACCAAAGAGGGGGACCUUAGGGCCUCUUGCCAUCGGAUGUGCCCAGAUGGGAUUAGCUUGUUGGUGAGGUAACGGCUCACC